AGCCUAGAAGGAAACGGAAGUCCCUUCGUCUCCCUCAGGCGCACCCACCAGCCCGCCCACCUCCCGGAGGAGCCCCGAGUCGGGGAACCCCAGGACUGGUCGCCUGCAGUAUGGCCUGCACAAGGCCAUCUGACUUAAACUCCUCAACACUCAUUCCCAAACAACGUUACAGCUCCUUAGCUUGAUGUUCACUCUCCCCUUGGACACCUUACUAUGGACUGAAAGAAAACCAACCCCAAAGUAGUAAUCUCCACACCCAACAUGGGGCUUGAACUCACAUAUCCAAGAUCAAGAGCCACACACUCCACCCACUGAGCCAGCCGGGUGCCCCUCCAGUGUAUUCUAAAUGUUGGCAUAAAACCCAAAUCUAUCAUUAGCUUAAAUGAAUUUUAAAUACCGUGGUGAUUUGAUACCCACUGUCAUCCACUUGAAAAUUAAAGGAAAAAGCUCUUCUUUAGGUGCCAGAAAGUUUAUAUCUAUUUUUGUCUUUAAUUCAUUUAUCCAUUCCACUUCCACCAUAGAAUUUUAUCUUAACGUGAUAUAUUUUUAUGCUUUCAAGUCUUUUAUUGAUCACUCUGUCAUAUGACUUUGCAGCAGAACUAUGAAUACAAAACAUUUUUUAAGGAAAUGUCCUAUCAACAUAUUUUUAGCUGUUAAAAAAGUUCUCUAGAUUGAGUUAUUCAUAACAUUAUUGGCAUAAAAUUGCUCACAACACAAAUAUUUUAUACAUUUUGAUAAACGAAUGGAAAACGUAAAAAGGCAAAUUUUAUCAGAAAUGCACCCUUGAAUGAGCUGGAUAUUUUCCCCCUCCCAUGCAUGGAGGGCUGAGUACAACCUGUUGCUGGAAUGAGAGUUCAGGUUCAAUUCUAUUUCUGUUUUUAUCUGUAUAGAUAUGCGCACCGAGAAAUUUGUUCACACAUAUGAGAAUAUGAAAAUACAAAUAGAAUUGUAAGAACAUUAUCAUUUAGUUAUCUGAGCUCUGAGUUCUUUGCCAAGACUCACAUGGUGAUCUAUCAGAAAUGUCAUUUUAUGAUCUAUUAUCUGGCUACCUGAUUAGAGUUUCCUUCAAAUUUGUCGAAAGCAAAAGAUUGGAAACCACCUACUGGCAAAAGGAUUUCUUAUGCAUCCACUAGACUCAUUCACUUUCUCAACUUCUGAUACCAGAAAGGCUUUUUAGAUGACCAGUAACUAUACUUCUUUACUUUUUCAUUGAGGGGUAACUUAUUUAACCUGAUUUACUCAGAAAGGCUUGGAAAAAUAAAAAAUUCUAUUAAUGUGAAUGAAUAUUUGCCACUAUAAUAUUUUAAAAUAAAUGCUUCUGUUUUAUCUUGUGCCUUAAAUAUAUUUUCGUGAAACGUUUUUGGAGCUGCUGAUGUGAGUUUAUUCGAUUUCUAGAAAAUGCCCCACUGCAUAAUCUAAUGGGUAGCCAGUC